rnacentral:rRNA from 1 species
UGUGCAGGCGGACUGGCGUGUCGGUGGUGAAAGCCCUCGGCUUAACCGAGGAAGUGCUGCCGAAACUACCAGUCUUGAGGGCGGAAGAGGAAACUGGAACUUCUGGUGUAGCGGUAAAAUGCGUAGAUAUCAGAAGGAACGCCGAUAGCGAAGGCAGGUUUCUGGGACGUACCUGACGCUGAAACACGAAAGCUAGGGGAGCAAACAGGAUUAGAUACCCUGGUAGUCCUAGCUGUAAACGAUGUACAUUAGGCGUGGGGAUUUUCCCCGUGCCGGAGCCAACGCGUUAAAUGUACCGCCUGGGGACUACGGCCGCAAGGUUGAA